UACGGGGGGAGCAAGCGUUGUUCGGAAUUACUGGGCGUAAAGCGCACGUAGGCGGCUUUGUAAGUUAGAGGUGAAAGCCCGGAGCUCAACUCCAGAACUGCCUUUGAUACUGGAGAGCUUGAGUCCGGGAGAGGUGAGUGGAACUCCGAGUGUAGAGGUGAAAUUCGUAGAUAUUCGGAAGAACACCAGUGGCGAAGGCGGCUCACUGGCCCGGUACUGACGCUGAGGUGCGAAAGCGUGGGGAGCAAACAGG
rnacentral:rRNA from 1 species